rnacentral:lncRNA from 10 species
GGCUGCCGCCCUUCCCCCACCCACGCCGGCGGGAGCCGCCCGUUCGCGCUGCCAGCAGCUUCCGCCUGCUACGGUCCUGGCAAGCACCUCGGGAUCCCAUUCCUUCACAGGGACCCUAGCCAGUUAAAGCUGAUACAUUCCUGUGGGUCAACUAUGCAACUAACUCAGAUUUUGAGCAAACAAAGCUCUCAAGUUGGUGAUCCUCAGGAGUCUCUGCAUUAGUUGGACAGCUCUUCUGGAAUUAUCUUCUAAGUCAACUGUGGGUUGGGUAGGUGGCUCUGCUGAUUUUUCGCUGGACUUCCACAUUUGGGACGAGUUGGCUGUCAUCAGCUCUAGAAAGGGUGUGGCCGUUUUACAUUGGCUGUUUUCCUCACAUUCCUCAAGCAGGUAAGCUUAAUCAUGUUCUCAUAUUGAAGCAGAAACUGUUUACUCAUUUAUCUAUUUACUUACUGGGUCUCCUGGGCACUAGGUACUGUAAUAAAGAACUGGAGAAAUACAGUCAGAUGGGAAGUAGCCCUUGCUGUCAAGGAGCUUGCCAUCUAAUGGGGGAGACAGGCAAGUAAACCAAAGACUACACAGUGCAGUAUGGUAAGUGCCAUGAUUUUGAUGUGACAGGGCACAGUGGACGACCUUCCAAAUCAAAGCAAGUAACUAGGGGUUGACAAUGGUAAGUAUCAUAGUUGAAGUAUCCUUGAACAAGGUUUCAGGAAGAAGAAGAAGGGAAUUUCAUGCAGGGAAACAGCCAAAGCUCAGUGAGUCAAAAUAUCACAGCAUUCUUGGUAAGCCCAAUUGUUUUUUCUGUUUUG